rnacentral:rRNA from 1 species
GAGUUUGAUCCUGGCUCAGAAUGAACGCUGGCGGCGCGCCUAAUACAUGCAAGUCGAGCGAGAAGACGUAGCAAUACGUUUGUAAAGCGGCGAACGGGUGAGGAAUACAUGGGUAACCUACCCUAGAGUGGGGAAUAACCAGCCGAAAGGUUGGCUAAUACCGCGUACGCUUCUUGGACUUCGGUUCAGGGAGGAAAGCGCUACCGAGGGUAGCGCGCUCUUGGAUGGGCUCAUGUCCUAUCAGCUUGUUGGUGAGGUAAUGGCUCACCAAGGCUUCGACGGGUAGCUGGUCUGAGAGGACGAUCAGCCACACUGGCACUGCGACACGGGCCAGACUCCUACGGGAGGCAGCAGUAAGGAAUAUUGCGCAAUGGGCGAAAGCCUGACGCAGCGACGCCGCGUGGGGGAUGAAGGUCUUCGGAUUGUAAACCCCUUUCGGGAGGGAAGAUGGAAUGGGGUAACUCAUUCGGACGGUACCUCCAGAAGCAGCCACGGCUAACUUCGUGCCAGCAGCCGCGGUAAUACGAAGGUGGCAAGCGUUAUUCGGAUUUACUGGGCGUACAGGGAGCGUAGGCGGUUUGGUAAGCCCUCUGUGAAAUCUCCAGGCUUAACCUGGAAAAGUCGGAGGGGACUGCUGGGCUAGAGGACGGGAGAGGAGCGCGGAAUUCCCGGUGUAGCGGUGAAAUGCGUAGAGAUCGGGAGGAAGGCCGGUGGCGAAGGCGGCGCUCUGGAACGUUUCUGACGCUGAGGCUCGAAAGCGUGGGGAGCAAACAGGAUUAGAUACCCUGGUAGUCCACGCCUUAAACUAUGAAUACUAAGUGUCGGCAGUUUACUGCCGGUGCCGCAGCUAACGCAUUAAGUAUUCCGCCUGGGAAGUACGGCCGCAAGGUUGAAACUCAAAUGAAUUGACGGGGGCCCGCACAAGCGGUGGAGCAUGUGGUUUAAUUCGAUGCAACGCGAAGAACCCUUACCUUCCCCUUGG